AAAAGGCACGCACAUGAGGAACUGCUAAUCUCCUCAUGUUUAACUACACUCAACUUUUUGAUUAUUGAGGCCAACACAUUAGUGGUUUUCUCUAUGUUAUUCACAAAUUUCAUUUUCAUAUCCUUGUUUUCAUUCAAAUUCAUAUUGACUAUUUGAUAGGUCAGAGUCAUAGACAAAGCUCUCAGACAAAUAAUUAGAGCUUUCCUACAAAGCUGGCAUAGACCCACUGAUUGACACUUUGUGGGGACAAGGCACUUCCUGAUUCUUUCCCUUUGUAUCCCAACUCUCUAUAGCUUAGGGAUAGAGAAUAGUACCCCUACUCACUAUAGCUUAGACACCUGACCUCCCCAUGUGUCUAGGAAUAAUACUCAGAAUUUGAAGGUCUCCAGACCAAAAAUCCAGAACUCAGCACAGAAUAGUGAUUGCUUCUUGUACAGUGCUGACCCUUGUUCAAGGGCUAACAGCUGAGCUUCUGCUAUGUGGCCCUUUCUUUUUCCUUUUCUUUCUUUCUUUUGACAGGGUCUCAUUCUGUGGCCCACGCUGGAAUGCUGUGGCAUCAUCACAGCUCACUGCACCUUCGACCUCCCCAGCUCAAGCGAUCCUCCUGCCUCAGCAUCCCGACUAGCUGGGACCACAGUGGGGUGCUACAACAACCAGCUAAUGGUUUUGUUUGUUUGUUUGUUUGUUUAGUAGAGACAAUGUUGCAUUAUGUUGCGUAGGCUGGUAGCUAGUCUUGAACUCCUGGCCUCAAGAGAUCCUCCUGCCUAGGCCUCCCAAGAUGCUAGGAUUACAGGCAUGAGUCACUACACCUGGCCAACCCUUUCUUAAAUUACUGUCCAAUGAACUGCUUUUUAUUCCCAUUAUUCUCUCACUGGAGCACCUUCCAUAUUUUUUUGAAAACAUGUUUAAACUUGGGAUCUUUUCAUCCAUUUCCCAAAUAUCUCCAUGAAGGGAUUUCCCCCCAUCCAUACCCCAGUACUAAAAUUACAAGCCUGUGACCUGUCUCUCUUUCUGUAGUGCCCACUUUUGCCUGCCGAGGACUAUCAUUUGCACCUGACUUGAGUACACUGCCCACUUGGUUCUGGCUCAUACCUGGAAGGGAGACAGCUGCACAGAGGCCAAGAAGAACCUUAACAGGCAAGCCUUGCUGAGAUUCCCAACUUGGCCUAUUUCCAUUAGAUUAUACCUUUUCUGUCCAACCACAGUUCUACAUGGCAGUCCAUUCUUCAAGGAACCUAAGUAUAAAAAUGGAUGUUUUCACCUGUAUCUUUGGGUCUUCAUUCUAAGGUAUCCGUGUCAUAUAAAACUAUGAUUAAAUAAAUUUGUAUGCUUUUCUCUGUUCUUUAUUAUAGGAGUGUCGGCUAUAAGCCUCAGGAUGGGGAGAAAAGAGAUCACCUCCUUUCACCCCUACGAGAACUGGAUCACUCUCCUCCUCCAAACCAAUCAUUGACAAGCUGAGACAGAUCGGAAUUUAGACCUGAGACAUACAGGGAAGAGACGGGUAAUCCCUUGAAAUUGGCUCUUUACCAACAGGAGAAAGGCUCUGGCUAGGAAACCCUACUGUCUGGUCCAGGCAGAAGGAAUUACUCUCUAAUUUGGAGGGUGGUAAUAUUUGAAGACAGUUACUGAUGAAGACCCAUUAAAAUAACAUGGACUUUUAAUCUAUUCAAAACAGUUUAAAACAGGACUGUGUCCAAAACAAAGGGGUAGAUUAAGUUAUCUCUAAAAUUCCCCGCCGACUGUUUAAUGCUGUGAUUCUGUUCUCAUUGUUUUCGCUGUGGAAAC